UCUCUCUCUCUCUCAGUCUCUCUCGCUCCCUCCCUCCCUCCCUCACUCCCUCCCCUCUUCUACUUCAAUGUCGUAAGGUGAUUAUAGGGUUUCGGGGAUGAAUCAAACUUAAAACUACGGAUUCAUAUGGUCGCAAAAUUUGGGGCUAUUUAUGUAGUCACUUUUCUAUGUGAUUGCCAUUAUGAUUAUGAGUUCUUGUGAAAAUUACCCAGCAGAAUCCGGGAAUCUUGAAUUCUUGAUUGUGUUUAGGUAGAUGCAUUCAAAUUUCCUAACGCCAUGGAUUUUUCAUAUGACUUUUUUUUCUAUUGGCCUCUUGUAAUUGAAAUCCGUUUCCUUUUCAUUGCUCUUUUUCUUUUGUGUAUAUCUUCAGCAGAGGUCAGAGACAUUCAACCACUACUGAUAUAAGAACUACUUAUGUACCCAUAUCGACCGAUUGGUAGCAGAAUAAGUUGGAGAAGGAAUUGCAGAAUAAGUUGGAGAAGGAAUUAUGCAGCUAAGGAUAUUAAAUUUUGGUUUGCAAGCCUGAUUAUUGAUGCUUAGGGGUGUGGAAGAGUUUGCUGAUGCUGUUAAAGUCACAACGGGGCAAAAAGGACGCAAUUGUUCUGGAGCAAAGCUUUGGAGCUCCUAAAGUGACAAAGGAUGGUGUCACUAUAGCAAAGAGCAUUGAGUUCAGAAUUACAUGCUCAAAUUCCUUGAGCUUCCACAUGAAGAAGAAACACAUAUCAAGUUGGCUUCUGAUAGGGGAUACAAGAGAAAGAUAUUGAGGUUGAGGUUACUGACCAUACUAUGCCCGAGUCAUUCAUACUUGAUGAGGAACAGGGAAGGUAAAUUUAACAAGGUUCUCACAACCUCUGCAAUCCACAGUUCCUAAUUACAGGAGAGGAUUAUUUAUGUUGAUCUAAGUGUGUAUCUGAUUCCAACUUCUAUGGUUGUGCUCAUGAAAAAGUUAACACUAUACUUGUAGUUUAGAGACAUGUAAGUUUUGGAUGCUGCUAUGGAGGAGAAGUUAUAGAUCAGUUUUGUUCUGUUGAGGACUUUUUUCAUUUAUACGCAAGGAAAAGAAUGAGAAAAUGUAAUGCUUGUGUAUGUCAAUGAAUGUUACAUUAUGUUUUGAUCACUUCUGAGAUUGUUUAAUAAAAAUCUGCAUACUUUUGAUUGUACUUGUGAGAACUUAUUGUUGCCGAUCAAAGUGUUAUGA